rnacentral:rRNA from 1 species
UGGGGAAUAUUGGACAAUGGGGGCAACCCUGAUCCAGCAAUGCCACGUGAGUGAAGAAGGCCAUAGGGUUGUAAAGCUCUUUCGGCGGGGACGAUGAUGACGGUACCCGCAGAAGAAGCCCCGGCUAACUCCGUGCCAGCAGCCGCGGUAAUACGGAGGGGGCUAGCGUUGUUCGGAAUUACUGGGCGUAAAGGGCGCGCAGGCGGCGGUUCAAGUCGGGCGUGAAAGGCCUGGGCUCAACCCGAGAAUGGCGCUCGAGACUGGACUGCUCGAGUCCGGGAGAGGAUGGUGGAAUUCCCAGUGUAGAGGUGAAAUUCGUGGAUAUUGGGAAGAACACCGGUGGCGAAGGCGGCCAUCUGGACCGGUACUGACGCUGAGGCGCGAAAGCGUGGGGAGCAAACAGGAUUAGAUACCCUGGUAGUCCACGCCGUAAACGAUGAGUGCCAGACGUCGGUGGGCAUGGCCCAUCGGUGUCGCAGCCAACGCGCUAAGCACUCCG